CGGGGGGGGCCUAUCUGCAGUCGACGCGCAGCGAAAGGUGCUUGCACCUUUCAAGCGAGUGGCGAACGGGUGAGUAACACGUGGAUAACCUGCCUCAAGGCUGGGGAUAACAUUUGGAAACAGAUGCUAAUACCGAAUAAAACUUAGUAUCGCAUGAUACAAAGUUGAAAGGCGCUACGGCGUCACCUAGAGAUGGGUCCGCGGUGCAUUAGUUAGUUGGUGGGGUAAAGGCCUACCAAGACAAUGAUGCAUAGCCGAGUUGAGAGACUGAUCGGCCACAUUGGGACUGAGACACGGCCCAAACUCCUACGGGAGGCUGCAGUAGGGAAUCUUCCACAAUGGGCGAAAGCCUGAUGGAGCAACGCCGCGUGUGUGAUGAAGGCUUUAGGGUCGUAAAGCACUGUUGUAUGGGAAGAAAUGCUAGAAUAGGGAAUGAUUCUAGUUCGACGGUACCAUACCAGAAAGGGACGGCUAAAUACGUGCCAGCAGCCGCGGUAAUACGUAUGUCCCGAGCGUUAUCCGGAUUUAUUGGGCGUAAAGCGAGCGCAGACGGUUGAUUAAGUCUGAUGUGAAAGCCCGGAGCUCAACUCCGGAAUGGCAUUGGAAACUGGUUAACUUGAGUGUUGUAGAGGUAAGUGGAACUCCAUGUGUAGCGGUGGAAUGCGUAGAUAUAUGGAAGAACACCAGUGGCGAAGGCGGCUUACUGGACAACAACUGACGUUGAGGCUCGAAAGUGUGGGUAGCAAACAGGGAUUAGAUACCCUGGUAGUCCACACCGUAAACGAUGAAUACUAGGGUGUUGAGGAGGUUUUCCGCCUCUUUAUGGCCGAGCACUAAACGCAUUUAAGUUAUUCCCGCCCUGGGGAAGUAC
rnacentral:rRNA from 1 species